ACGACACCCUGUAUUUGGGAAAGAAUUUAAUUUCAGUAUGCACAUGCCGUGUUUACAGUGUAGAGAUGUGUUAUUUGUACAUUUAUCCCUGUAUUGAAUUUAGAACCGGAAACAGUAUGUCACAUCUAAUCUUAGAAAACCGCAACUGGUUUUGAGAAACGACACAUUAGCACUUUCUGUCCCCGAAUGGCAAAAUAACACCCACCACCACACAGCGACCACCUCCCCCCGACCCUCCCCCGGACAAUUUUUAUUGGUACAGGCUCGCCCCCAGAAGAUUAAAUCGGCGGACAUUCAUGUUAUUCCCGCGCCCACCUGUAUAAAGUAUGCCCAUAUUUGUUUUUGCAUAUAUUGUUUAUUUUUGUUUCAUUAGUUUUAUCCCCCUCAUCUUUUAUACUAAAACACUAUUUUUUCUUGUAGAAAGCCUCUUUGUUUACAAAAAUAUAUGAAAUACAUCAUUUGCGAUGUUUUGUUUAAAUUAAUGUGCCAUACAUAUACGUCUGUACUAUUCUUUAUUUUCGAAAAAUAUAUUUGUGUGAUUACAUAUGCAGUUUGAGUGCAGUAGAGAAACAGUCUACUAUCAGAAAAAAGGAUCUGAGACAUGCACGUCUCCAUUAUGAUAUUUGUCAACUACUCUAAUAAUUUAGGAGUAGGUAAGACAAUUCAUGUACAAUUACUAAACCACCAACUGCAGUCAUUGUGAGUAUUCAUGACACAUAGAAUGUCUUCCUCUAAUUUUGAAUGUUCACACGUCAAUAACAUUGAGAUGACAUCAUGAGUGAAUGUGUGUGAAGUGAUGAAAGAGGAUGUGUGCCUUCAAUAAUCAAUUCUGUCAACUUCCGUUUGUUGUAUACACUAACUCCAACAUUUGUCGCCCUUAAUCUCUCUGCUUUAUUUAUUAUUUGUACUCUCGCUUUUCUUAUCAUUCAUAAAUGUUGACUAUGCACAUUUAAGAAAUAUGUCAAUCGUAUAUCGUGUUUGCUGUACAAAACCAUGUUAUAUAUUCCUUAUAUUAACAUGUGAAUAGCUUGAUUAAGUAAAAGACUUUUGUUGUUGAACUGUUUCCAAUAAUCACUCAAAUUGAUAAUAUUGACAUUUUAACAUUAAUUCUAUUCAACUCAACAACCAUCUUGUCCUUUAGAAUGUACAGGUGUUGCUGCAAAGGUAAUAUGAUUUAGUAAACUUAUAGUAUACCCUUUAUAAGAAUAAUUUGUUGGUAUCAUUCCGACCGUUUACAUUAUUAUAAUAAUCUGACUCGUAUAUUUAAUAUUGUGUCUACAAUCAGACAUCAAAUCAUAUAUAAUAAUGUGAACAGUUACAUAUAAAGUAUAGACUUACAGUACGGUACAGUGGAACCCUUUAAUAUCAGGUGAUGAAAUACUCGUGUUAACGAGUGAUUGGUUGGGAGUUAUGUCGGGUCGACAUGGCCACUUGUCGGCUGGUCCGAGACUAGUGAUAGAUUGUAAGGGCUGUUGAUAUUAUACAAACAAUUAAUUUGAAAUGAAUUGUGGACUGCUUGGAUUUAGUUCGUUACAUCAGUUUGAUAGAUCUCCAUGUUUAGAAUGUACUCAUAAUGUGAUAUUGAUCACCUUUUGAUGCUGAUAUCUGCUUAUAGGACAAUGCAAUGCAUGCUUCUCCAGAUGACUGCAUGAUGAUUCGUACGGAGAAGCAGAAGGGUGAAUGGGUAGUCAUAUAACUAUUGUUAUGGGACACUUAACAUGCUUAACAUUUUCCCAGAGGUAUACAUAUAUGGACAAUGUAUAUGGAUUGAGUUCGGGACUGAAGGGGACAUGACAGUAAAUUGUUUGUUUAGACAUUAUGGGCCAUGUUCAGCAGUUAUUUCACAUGCACUGUAGAACGACGAGGUUUCAAAUGUUCAAUAUAUUAAUUCAGUUAUCUGUUGAUCAAAGUCCCCUUCUCUUGUAGUCAUUGCUAUAUGGUUAACAUUGUGUAGAUAUUUUAAUAUCUCCAAGACAUAUGAGCUUGAAGUUCGAAAUUUGUUAAAUGGCUUAACCUUUGGACACUGAUGUUCACUUGUGUGGACUUGACGAUGUGAAUGGUAUCUCGAGGAAUGUGAUUGUUUCCCCUUCCAUGCUCAUUGUUUGUAGUUUUGAUCAAAGCUUACACUAAUGAUGCAUUUCUAUGUUAUGUUUGUUUAAUUGUUUGCUUGUUUGUUGUUUAACGCCGCAUGCGACCAGACAAUCCAGUGAUUGCAGUCAGCGAGCCUAACCACCCGUCGCCUUUUACGACAAGCAUGGUCUGCUGAAGAUCCAUUCUAUUCCGGAUCUACACUUGGGAUUCUCCAAGACACAAGAGUUUGAAGAUCGAAAGUUGUGAAACGGCCUAAACCUCUGGACACUGAUGUACAUUUGCUGUGGACUUGACGCGGAAUGUGACCGUUUCCCCAUUCAUGUUGAUUGUUUGUAGUUUCACUCAAAGUGUAUAACAAUGAAGCAUGUCUUUGUGUA
rnacentral:lncRNA from 1 species